GUCAGAAAUUAUUUUUUUUUUAGUGCCAACUUUCAUCAGUAUUAAAUACUUACAAGUCUCUUCAAAAUGUUUGUAAACAAUGUUUGUAAACAGUUUUAUUUUAUUUGAAAUCCUUUCAUCAUUCCUUCUUAAAAUCCUUUUCCUGAGAGUCGUUCUAUCAAGAGAAUUUAUUUUUUUUUUGUUCAUUUAAAGUUUCACUUUUAUUUACUAUAAGCAUUUUGGAGAGAACCUGCUGUUUUUUAUAAUUCAUAUUUGUGACUCAUUAUUAUAAAAUCAAUAAGAUUCUGUAAAAAUAUUUUUUAACUGCUGUCACGUUUUUGUAAAAAACAA